rnacentral:lncRNA from 1 species
AGUACCAGUUCCUUGCUGCUCCCUUCAGAGUGGAUAGGAAAGCUCGGCACAGGAUGGCGUCUGGCGCACCAUGGAGCAGCAUCAUUGUCCGAAAGGCCUCUAGGUGGUCAACCGGAUCCGAGGUCCCGUCGUAGCUUUCGAAUUGGAAGAGCUUGAAGUUCGGCGGGAUCGGUUCCUACAUGAUCAUUUGAGAGAAGGGAGGGCCAGUAC